CCACUUACCUCGACGGGGUCUAUAGGUGAUCAAGAAGACCUAUGGCCUAAACUAGUGUCCUCUAUUGCACUUUGGAGGAGCAUUGGUUUACCAUCUCCUUUAUGGGAGAGUGUACGUCGGGUACGCGUUCGCGCGGCCCCUAC
rnacentral:snRNA from 3 species